AUUGAACGCUGGCGGCAGGCUUAACACAUGCAAGUCGAACGAGUGGCGGACGGGUGAGUAAUGUCUGGGAAACUGCCCGAUGGAGGGGGAUAACUACUGGAAACGGUAGCUAAUACCGCAUAUCAUCGGAUGUGCCCAGAUGGGAUUAGCUAGUAGGUGGGGUAACGGCUCACCUAGGCGACGAUCCCUAGCUGGUCGGAGAGGAUGACCAGCAACACUGGAGCUGAGAAACGGCCCAGACUCCUAGGGGAGGCGUGGGGGGAGUAUAUUGCACAAUGGGCGAAAGGCUGAUACAACCAUGCCACGUGUAUGAAAAAGGGCUGCGGUUAGUGAAGGACUUUCAGCGGGGAGGCGUUACCCGCAGAAGAAGCACCGGCUAACUCCGUGCCAGCCGCCGCGGUAAUUC
rnacentral:rRNA from 1 species